UAGGGAAUCUUCGGCAAUGGACGAAAGUCUGACCGAGCAACGCCGCGUGAGUGAAGAAGGUUUUCGGAUCGUAAAACUCUGUUGUUAGAGAAGAACAAGGACGUUAGUAACUGAACGUCCCCUGUCGGUAUCUAACCAGAAAGCCACGGCUAACUACGUGCCAGCAGCCGCGGUAAUACGUAGGUGGCAAGCGUUGUCCGGAUUUAUUGGGCGUAAAGCGAGCGCAGGCGGUUUCUUAAGUCUGAUGUGAACGCCCCCGGCUCAGCCGGGGAAGGUCAUUUGAAUCUGGGAGGCUUGAGUGCAGAAGAGGAGAGUGGAAUUGCAUGUGUAGCGGUGAAAUGCGUAGAUAUAUGGAGGAACACCAGUGGCGAAGGCGGCUCUCUGGUAUGUAACUAACGCUGAGGCUCGAAAGCGUGGGGAGCAAACAGG
rnacentral:rRNA from 1 species